CCACGCGGUAAUGGUAGAGAGACCCUGGAGGUCAGAGGCCUAGACUCCCACCGCCACCUGACCCUGGAGGAAGCAGACUCCUGGAGAUGCAAAGGAUACAGCACAGAGCUGCCAAGACCCGGUGAGUGGGGGCCAGAGCUACAAGACAGAAGGAGCGCAUGGCCUGGACUCUGCAAUGAACUGCUCCAGCAAGGAAUAAACAUCUAUUGUAUUGAG
rnacentral:lncRNA from 1 species